CACUCCUGCGGGAGGCAGCAGUGGGGAAUAUUGGACAAUGGGCGCAAGCCUGAUCCAGCAAUGCCGCGUGAGUGAAGAAGGCCUUCGGGUUGUAAAGCUCUUUUGUCAGGGAAGAAACGGUGAAAGCUAAUAUCUUUUGCUAAUGACGGUACCUGAAGAAUAAGCACCGGCUAACUACGUGCCAGCAGCCGCGGUAAUACGUAGGGUGCAAGCGUUAAUCGGAAUUACUGGGCGUAAAGCGUGCGCAGGCGGUUUUGUAAGUCUGAUGUGAAAUCCCCGGGCUCAACCUGGGAAUUGCAUUGGAGACUGCAAGGCUAGAAUCUGGCAGAGGGGGGUAGAAUUCCACGUGUAGCAGUGAAAUGCGUAGAUAUGUGGAGGAACACCGAUGGCGAAGGCAGCCCCCUGGGUCAAGAUUGACGCUCAUGCACGAAAGCGUGGGGAGCAAACAGGAUUAGAAACCCGUGUAGUCCCA
rnacentral:rRNA from 1 species